UAAACGAUGUCAACUAGUUGUCGGGUCUUAACGGGCUUGGUAACGUAGCUAACGCGUGAAGUUGACCGCCUGGGGAGUACGGUCGCAAGAUUAAAACUCAAAGGAAUUGACGGGGACCCGCACAAGCGGUGGAUUAUGUGGAUUAAUUCGAUGCAACGCGAAAAACCUUACCUACCCUUGACAUGUACCGAAGCUCGCUGAGAGGUGAGCGUGCCCGAAAGGGAACGGUAACACAGGUGCUGCAUGGCUGUCGUCAGCUCGUGUCGUGAGAUGUUGGGUUAAGUCCCGCAACGAGCGCAACCCUUGUCAUUAAUUGCCAUCAUUCAGUUGGGCACUUUAAUGAAACUGCCGGUGACAAACCGGAGGAAGGUGGGGAUGACGUCAAGUCCUCAUGGCCCUUAUGGGUAGGGCUUCACACGUAAUACAAUGGCGCGUACAGAGGGUUGCCAACCCGCGAGGGGGAGCUAAUCUCAGAAAGCGCGUCGUAGUCCGGAUCGGAGUCUGCAACUCGACUCCGUGAAGUCGGAAUCGCUAGUAAUCGCGGAUCAGCAUGUCGCGGUGAAUACGUUCCCGGGUCUUGUACACACCGCCCGUCACACCAUGGGAGUGGGUUUCACCAGAAGCAGGUAGUCUAACCGCAAGGAGGGCGCUUGCCACGGUGAGAUUCAUGACUGGGGUG
rnacentral:rRNA from 1 species